CCUACGGGUGGCAGCAGUAGGGAAUAUUGCUCAAUGGGGGAAACCCUGAAGCAGCAACGCCGCGUGGAGGAUGAAGGUUUUCGGAUUGUAAACUCCUUUUGUUAGAGAAGAUAAUGACGGUAUCUAACGAAUAAGCACCGGCUAACUCCGUGCCAGCAGCCGCGGUAAUACGGAGGGUGCAAGCGUUACUCGGAAGCACGGGGCGUAAAGGGCGCGUAGGCGGGAUAGCAAGUCAGAUGUGAAAUCCUAUGGCUUAACCAUAGAACUGCAUUUGAAACUGUUAUUCUAGAGUAUGGGAGAGGUAGGUGGAAUUCUUGGUGUAGGGGUAAAAUCCGUAGAGAUCAAGAGGAAUACUCAUUGCGAAGGCGACCUGCUAGAACAUAACUGACGCUGAUGCGCGAAAGCGUGGGGAGCAAACAGGAUUAGAUACCCGAGUAGUC
rnacentral:rRNA from 1 species